GCCCCUGUAGCUCAGUUGGAUAGAGCACCGGCCUCCGAAGCCGGGAGCAUGCGUUCGAGUCGCAUCAGGGGUA
rnacentral:tRNA from 1 species